rnacentral:lncRNA from 1 species
AGCAGUUGAGAUGAGGGGGUUUGUUCAGGAGUUCUGGGCGUCGAGAAAGAGGGACCUGUGGUGGAAAAGUCUAGUACUGGUCAGCUUAUGGGCCUGUGAUGAGAAGAGAGUGGACCUGGAACCAACUGUCUGGACCUGCCAGACAAACAGAAGCAGGAUGGACUGGAAGGCAUUGUGAAAAACAAACUUCAGGAAUCGAGAGAUGGUAGGAGUGCUGCUUUUUUUCAGGACCAGCAUAUUUCCUCAGAUAUUACUGGGCUUCUCUUUGCAAACCAACCUCUUUAAUUCUGCCAUGAUGCCAAGAGGUAGCCCGGCAACUCAGACCUUGCCUUGCUCUGAGCCGCUUUCUUUUCUGGCCAACUCUGACACCUUACAUUGAAGCUGAUGGGGCUCAGCACCAAGUUUGGGCACCAAGAGGGUGCUUGUCAACUGGCAGUGCCAAAAAGUUCUCCUCUCUUUCCUUGUCUGUAUAAGGUCACUUCUUUUCUGGUCAGUGGUUAAUUUGUUGAAAAUCAGGUGAAGAGUUUUGACAGUUGGGGUGGGGGAGGAGUGCUAAAUAUAAAUACGAACCCUUCUAAAGUGUGUUGAAAGACACUUCUAACCUCUAGCUUCAUAGAUACCUCUGGUUUCUCUAUUGCUUUAUUAGCACAGGUUUUAUCCAGAAGGUGGCAUCACAGAACCUGAAUUUCACUCACCAAAGGUUAAAAGAAAAUCCACAUUUCUUUGUGAUUAGAAACUAAAGAAUGUAGCCUUUAGACAGCACAUUGCCAUUUCAAAGGCUUUUAAUUUAUCCCUGUAAUUGGCUAAGUUACCUUAAAGCUGUGAAAGAUGGGGGUCAUGAAGGUUUCCUACCCGGUGAGAACCUGAGGCCUGAGAUACUUAGAAAAACCUGUACCCAAACCAACAUUCCUUCACCAAGUGUCAUGACGGUGACCAAAACUGGCUUAUUUGCUAGUCAAACAACAGCUGUGAAACUUAAUAGUAACUGUGAUGCCUUCUUCCCCUUCCACACACACUUGUGUCCACUGCCCAUCAAGGUCAUGUUGGGUGACUUCAUUGGAGGGAGGGGUCGGGGAGACCUAAAUGGAUGGUCUAAUAGGUAAAACUACUGAGUAUUGGCACUUAAAAAUAAGUCACAAGGUUGAGGAUUCCAAAAGGGUGACUCUCUAAUUGGUGCCAUUCUCAAAAUCAGGACUCUGAGGGAAAGAGAAGGUAAUCCUCCUCUGAAUUUGAGAUGGAAACUGGCUUGCUGGUUCUUUCCCACGAGUUCAUUCCUAGGCCAGCCAUGUCACUCAGCCCCAAUGAAUGUCUACUGACUGGUAGGGAUGUUAAUGUUCUAUACCUUCUUGCUGUAAAGUAUUCCUCUGGAUAUAUACCCCAAGUGGGAUUGCUGGAUCAGAUAGUAGAUCUAUUUUCAAUUUUUUGAGGGACUUCCAUACUGUUUUCCAUAGUGGCUGUACCAAUUUAGAUGGGAGAACACAUCUUGAACUAAAUGGGUUUCAUGACUGGUUCUCCCGUCCUUUUGAUUGUCUGUUCUUUUAGGGAGAGGAGCUAUAGAGAUUAGAGGCUCAAAGGGGGAAGGACUUCCCUGAACAGGAAAGGUGGAAUGACUAGAUAUGGUCCAUCCUUGGGGUGCCUAAAGCCUAGUGGUGGGGAAGGGGCUGGGAAGAGUGACCCUCUGUAGAGCUGCUCUCAGAGCAUGAGGAGAAAGCAGACAGGAGGACGUCAUGGGCCCUCAAUGUGAAAGGUGCAUUGGACUUUGUGUGUUCAAGAGUGUCUCCUGAGAAGCAAGAAGAACUACAGUCCUGCAGCCUGUGGAACAAAAACCACAUUCACAGAAAGAUAGACAAGAUGAAAAGGCAGGGGGCUAUGUACCAGAUGAAGGAACAAGAUAAAACCCCAGAAAAAUAACUAAAUGAAAUGGAGAUAGGCAAUCUUCCAGAAAAAGAAUUCAGAAUAAUGAUAGUAAAGAUGAUCAAGGACCUCAGAAAAAGAAUGGAGGCAAAGAUUGAGAAGAUGCAAAAAAUGUUUACCAAAGAUCUAGAAGAAUUAAAGAAUAAACAAACAGAGAUGAACAAUAUAAUAACUGAAAUGAAAAAUACACAAGAAGGAAUCAAUAGCAGAAUAACUGAGGCAGAAGAACGGAUAAGUGACCUGGAAGACAGAAUGGUGGAAUUCACUUCUGUGGAACAG